GACGAACGCUGGCGGCGUGCCUAAUACAUGCAAGUAGAACGCUGACGAGAGGAGCUUGCUCUUCUUGGAUGAGUUGCGAACGGGUGAGUAACGCGUAGGUAACCUGCCUUGUAGCGGGGGAUAACUAUUGGAAACGAUAGCUAAUACCGCAUAACAAUGGAUGACCCAUGUCAUUUAUUUGAAAGGGGCAAAUGCUCCACUACAAGAUGGACCUGCGUUGUAUUAGCUAGUAGGUGAGGUAACGGCUCACCUAGGCGACGAUACAUAGCCGACCUGAGAGGGUGAUCCGCCACACUGGGACUGGGACACGGCCCAGACUCCUACGGGAGGCAGCAGUAGGGAAUCUUCGGCAAUGGGGGCAACCCUGACCGAGCAAAGCCGCGUGAGUGAAGAAGGUUUUCGGAUCGUAAAGGUAUGUUGUAAGUGAAGAAAGAGUGUGAGAGUGAAAAGUUCACAAUGUGACGGUAGCUUAACAGAAAGCGACGGCUAACUACGUG
rnacentral:rRNA from 1 species